rnacentral:rRNA from 1 species
UACGGAGGGUGCAAGCGUUGUUCGGAAUCAUUGGGCGUAAAGCGCGUGUAGGCGGCCUAGUAAGUCGGGUGUGAAAUCCCGGGGCUCAACCCCGGAACUGCACUCGAAACUGCCUCGCUAGAGUCUCGGAGAGGAAGGCGGAAUUCCCGGUGUAGAGGUGAAAUUCGUAGAUAUCGGGAGGAACACCAGCGGCGAAGGCGGCCUUCUGGACGGUGACUGACGCUGAGACGCGAAAGCGUGGGGAGCAAACAGG